UGACCGUGCGAAGGUAGCACAAUCACUUGCCUUUUAAUUGGGGGCUAGUAUGAAGGGUUGGAUGAGGGACCAAGUGUCUUUAGAUCACAACUAAAAUUUUACUUUUAAGUGAAAAGGCUUAAAUUUUGUUAAGUGAAGAUAAGACCCUAUAAAACUUAUAUAGAAGUUGGCUACGGCUUGUUUAAUAAUGUUUUAAAAUAAGGUGGUUAAUAUUAUAUUUUGUUGGGGAGACAAGAGCAGAACUCUAUCUGUUAUUUAUAAUAAGUUAAAUAUAAUUAAAACUGAGCCUUUAAUAAGGAGCAAAAGAUUAAGUUACUUUAGGGAUAACAGCGUAAUUUUCUUUGAGAGACCUAAUCGACAAGAGUAGUUGCGACCUCGAUGUUGAAUUAAAAUUUUCUAUCAAGUGCAGUAGCUUGGUUAGUAAGUCUGUUCGACUUUUAAAAUUUUACAUGAUUUGAGUUCAAACCGGUGUAAGCC
rnacentral:rRNA from 1 species